CCACUUUCCCUCCAUUUCAUAAAAAUCUUGCCCCAAAACUUUCAAAAUCUCCCAACCCAAACGCUCCACCACUGCCGCCCACCGGUGACCUCAGAUCUACCGUAUAUCCCUUCCCCUUUCAAUUUCACCUAAAAUCUCCCCAAAUCUCUCCCUCCAUCUCCAUCUUCCCUCUCCCCCCACCCACCUCCAACCACGAGCAGCAACGCCGACCCAAAGGCCGAGCACCGGUGACACAGCAACUCCAUCUCCGGCAACCACGGAUUUCAACUUUUUUUUUUUCCAACCGUGCCACCUCUCUCUUCCACCGUGCUCCUCCCUCUCCCCCCUUCACCACAGACGAUCCAGGCCACCAAAAUAGCUACCCACCGCUGCUUGCCACCCACGAGGAUUUUCUCUUCGUUGGCCUCACCGCCAGAAUUCCACAACUUUCCUGAAGAUAUUUAGUCACUACUAUUAGUAAGUGAUGACAGAACCGGAUGCCUCUUUGGCAAGAUUCAUAUGAUAGAAUUACAGAGCAAUGGUGUAGCAAUUCAAGACUUUCUUCAUAUCAUUCUCAACAUAAUGAAUUUGUAAAUUAUAGAAAAGCAUUGGUUUGUCAAUUGUCUGUACUGAACCAUGCACAUGAAAUCAAACAUCUUGUGAUUUAUUCAGAA